UCGAGCCGUAUGAAGGGAAACUUUCAAGUACGGUUCCUAGAGGAGAGUUUAGUGGAAAAUAUCUCAGUCCACUAAACUCUUACUCGUU
rnacentral:ncRNA from 1 species